rnacentral:rRNA from 1 species
CAGCAGCGCGGUAUACGUAGUGGGCAGCCGUAUUCCUGCAGUAUUUGUCGUAAAGCGCGCGUAGGCGGGUUCUUUAGUAUGAUGUGAAAGCACCCCGGCUCACCCCCGGAGGGGUCAUCUGUAAACUGGGAGACUUGAGUACAGAAGAAGGAAAGAAGGAGUUCCAUGUGUAGCGGUGAAAUGCGCAGAGAUAUGGAGGAGCACCAGUGGCGAAGGCGACUUUCUUGUCUGUAUCUGACGCUGAUGUGCGAAAGCGUGGGGAUCAAACACGAUUAGAUACCCUGGUAGUGCACGCCGUAAACGAUGAGUGCUAAGUGUUAGGGGGUGUCCGCCCCCUAGUGCUGCAGCUAACGCAUUAAGCACUCCUCCUGGGGAGUACGACCGCAAGGUUGAAACUCAAAAGAAUUGACGGGGGGCCGCCCAAGCGGUGGAGCAUGUGGUUUAAUUUGAAGCAACGCGAAGAACCUUACCAAAUCUUGACAUCCUUUGAAAACUCUAGAGAUAGAGCCUUUCCCUUUGGGGGACAAAGUGACAGGUGGUGCAUGGUUGUCGUCAGCUCGUGUCGUGAGAUGUUGGGUUAAGUCCCGCAACGAGCGCAACCCUUAAACUUAGUUGCCAGCAUUUAGUUGGGCACUUUAGGUUGACUGCCGGU